CGUGCUCAGGGACAAGCACAGGUCAUCAGGAUGAUGAUCAGGACUAUCGCAAGACGCGAUCCAUCAGGACGAUGAGUUGGGAAACAAAGGGAUUAGGGAAUAAAAGCGGGCGGCGCAAGCCGCCCCUUUUUUU
rnacentral:sRNA from 1 species